rnacentral:rRNA from 1 species
CCUACGGGAGGCAGCAGUGGGGAAUAUUGGACAAUGGACCAAGAGUCUGAUCCAGCAAUUCUGUGUGCACGAUGAAGUUUUUCGGAAUGUAAAGUGCUUUCAGUUGGGAAGAAAAAAAUGACGGUACCAACAGAAGAAGUGACGGCUAAAUACGUGCCAGCAGCCGCGGUAAUACGUAUGUCACAAGCGUUAUCCGGAUUUAUUGGGCGUAAAGCGCGUCUAGGUGGUUAUGUAAGUCUGAUGUGAAAAUGCAGGGCUCAACUCUGUAUUGCGUUGGAAACUGUGUAACUAGAGUACUGGAGAGGUAAGCGGAACUACAAGUGUAGAGGUGAAAUUCGUAGAUAUUUGUAGGAAUGCCGAUGGGGAAGCCAGCUUACUGGACAGAUACUGACGCUGAAGCGCGAAAGCGUGGGUAGCAAACAGGAUUAGAUACCCCUGUAGUC